GACGAACGCUGGCGGCGUGCCUAAUACAUGCAAGUAGAACGCACAGUUUAUACCGUAGCUUGCUACACCAUAAACUGUGAGUUGCGAACGGGUGAGUAACGCGUAGGUAACCUGCCUGGUAGCGGGGGAUAACUAUUGGAAACGAUAGCUAAUACCGCAUAAUAUUAAUUAUUGCAUGAUAAUUGAUUGAAAGAUGCAAUUGCAUCACUACCAGAUGGACCUGCGUUGUAUUAGCUAGUAGGUGAGGUAACGGCUCACCUAGGCGACGAUACAUAGCCGACCUGAGAGGGUGAUCGGCCACACUGGGACUGGGACACGGCCCAGACUCCUACGGGAGGCAGCAGUAGGGAAUCUUCGGAAAUGGACGAAAGUCUGACCGAGCAACGCCGCGUGAGUGAAGAAGGUUUUCGGAUCGUAAAGCUCUGUUGUAAGAGAAGAACGGGUGUGAGAGUGGAAAGUUCACACUGUGACGGUAUCUUACCAGAAAGAGACGGCUAACUACGUG
rnacentral:rRNA from 1 species